GAUGAACGCUGGCGGCGUGCCUAAUACAUGCAAGUCGAACGAAACUUCUUUAUCACCGAGUGCUUGCACUCACCGAUAAAGAGUUGAGUGGCGAACGGGUGAGUAACACGUGGGCAACCUGCCCAAAAGAGGGGGAUAACACUUGGAAACAGGUGCUAAUACCGCAUAACCAUAGUUACCGCAUGGUAACUAUGUAAAAGGUGGCUAUACUACCGCUUUUGGAUGGGCCCGCGGCGCAUUAGCUAGUUGGUAGGGUAAAGGCUUACCAAGGCAAUGAUGCGUAGCCGAAUUGAGAGGUUGAUCGGCCACAUUGGGACUGAGACACGGCCCAAACUCCUACGGGAGGCAGCAGUAGGGAAUCUUCCACAAUGGGCGAAAGCCUGAUGGAGCAACGCCGCGUGGGUGAAGAAGGUCUUCGGAUCGUAAAACCCUGUUGUUAGAGAAGAAAGUGUGUGAGAGUAACUGUUCACGUUUCGACGGUAUCUAACCAGAAAGCCACGGCUAACUACGUG
rnacentral:rRNA from 1 species